AGUGAACGCUGGCGGUAGGCCUAACACAUGCAAGUCGAACGGUAGCACAGGAGAGCUUGCUCUCUGGGUGGCGAGUGGCGGACGGGUGAGGAAUACACCGGAAUCUACUCUGUCGUGGGGGAUAACGUAGGGAAACUUACGCUAAUACCGCAUACGACCUACGGGUGAAAGCAGGGGAUCUUCGGACCUUGCGCGAUUGAAUGAGCCGAUGUCGGAUUAGCUAGUUGGCGGGGUAAAGGCCCACCAAGGCGACGAUCCGUAGCUGGUCUGAGAGGAUGAUCAGCCACACUGGAACUGAGACACGGUCCAGACUCCUACGGGAGGCAGCAGUGGGGAAUAUUGGACAAUGGGCGCAAGCCUGAUCCAGCCAUACCGCGUGGGUGAAGAAGGCCUUCGGGUUGUAAAGCCCUUUUGUUGGGAAAGAAAUCCAGCUGGCUAAUACCCGGUUGGGAUGACGGUACCCAAAGAAUAAGCACCGGCUAACUUCGUGCCAGCCGCCGCCGUAA
rnacentral:rRNA from 1 species